rnacentral:rRNA from 1 species
AUUGAACGCUGGCGGAAUGCUUUACACAUGCAAGUCGAACGGCAGCACGAGGGCAACCUUGGUGGCGAGUGGCGAACGGGUGAGUAAUACAUCGGAACGUGCCCAGUCGUGGGGGAUAACGUAGCGAAAGCUACGCUAAUACCGCAUACGAUCUAUGGAUGAAAGCGGGGGACCGUAAGGCCUCGCGCGAUUGGAGCGGCCGAUGGCAGAUUAGGUAGUUGGUGGGGUAAAGGCUCACCAAGCCUGCGAUCUGUAGCUGGUCUGAGAGGACGACCAGCCACACUGGAACUGAGACACGGUCCAGACUCCUACGAGAGGCAGCAGUGGGGAAUUUUGGACAAUGGGCGCAAGCCUGAUCCAGUCAUUCCGCGUGCAGGAUGAAGGCCUCGGUUGUAACUAGCUUUGUACGGUAACGAAAGGUUUACCGUUAAUUAACGUAGAGCUCAUGACGGUACCGUAACGAA